rnacentral:misc_RNA from 1 species
GAUGAAGAACGCAGCGAAAUGCGAUACGUAAUGUGAAUUGCAGAAUUCAGUGAAUCAUCGAAUCUUUGAACGCAUAUUGCGCUCUCUGGUAUUCCGGAGAGCAUGCUUGUUUGAGUAUCAGUAAACACCUCAACUCCCCUUUCUUUUUUUGAAAUGGGAGCUGGACUUGAGUGAUCCCAACGCUUUUCUCACCGAAAAGUGGCGGGUUACUUGAAAUGCAGGUGCAGCUGGACUUUUCUCUGAGCUAAAAGCAUAUCUAUUUAGUCUGCCUAAAAAACAGAUUAUUACCUUUGCUGCAGCUAACAUAAAGGAGAUUAGUUCUUGUGCUGACUGAUGCAGGAUUCACAGAGACAGCUUCGGCUGGCCUUUGUAAACUCGAUCUCAAAUCAAGUAAGACUACCCGCUGAACUUAAGCAUAUCAAUAAGCGGGGA